GAUGAACGCUGGCGGCGUGCCUAAUACAUGCAAGUCGAGCGAAUGGAUUAAGAGCUUGCUCUUAUGAAGUUAGCGGCGGACGGGUGAGUAACACGUGGGUAACCUGCCCAUAAGACUGGGAUAACUCCGGGAAACCGGGGCUAAUACCGGAUAACAUUUUGAACCGCAUGGUUCGAAAUUGAAAGGCGGCUUCGGCUGUCACUUAUGGAUGGACCCGCGUCGCACUAGCUAGUUGGUGAGGUAACGGCUCACCAAGGCAACGAUGCGUAGCCGACCUGGGAGGGUGAUCGGCCACACUGGGAUUGAGACACGGCCCAGACUCCUACGGGAGGCAGCAGUAGGGAAUCUUCCGCAAUGGACGAAAGUCUGACGGAGCAACGCCGCGUGAGUGAUGAAGGCUUUCGGGUCGUAAAACUCUGUUGUUAGGGAAGAACAAGUGCUAGUUGAAUAAGCUGGCACCUUGACGGUACCUAACCAGAAAGCCACGGCUAACUACGUGCCAGCCGCCGCCGUAA
rnacentral:rRNA from 1 species